CUGGAACGGAAGGAGACUGGAGGAAGCCACAGAGAGAACACGGAGGCUGACGUUAAGAUUCCUGUCUGCACAUUUACAGAUAUUACUCUGAAGAACAACAAUGAAGACCACCACAGUGAAAAAUGCUCAGGACAAAAUCAAGUGAGUCGAGGGGAAAAAAAGGCAAGCGCUCUACCACUGAGCUAAAUCCACAACCCCGACCAUGACGACUCUUACAAAAGAAAGCAUUUAAUGGGGUCUGACUUAGAGCUUCAGAGGUUCAGUCCUCAGGUAGCAAGAAGCAUGGUGGCUCUCGGGAAGACACACUGCUGGAGAAGUCUUGACAAUUCAGGUCAUUGUUUCCUGGGGGCAGGACAAUGACUCACUUGGUCAGUACUCCUCCUCCUUAUUGAUUAUAACAACUCAUGUUUUGAAACUUCUGCUCACUGUUGACAUUUACUCUGGAUGAUAAGUGAGCAGAUUACAAAGGCGGUGUCGUUUCACUUGGCGAAACCGGCAGCAACACCUUCUGCACAGUAGCCUAUCAUCUCCGUGCUGUCAGCUGACAGUGUUAAACUUUCAUCUCUGCACAGAGGGAAGCGGAACGGGCUGAGCAAUAAAUCGUUAAGAAAUAAACCACGGUUCCUGUACACACCCAGUAGACAUAUAGCAGCCUGGUCUCUUUUUCAAGUUGUAAUGAAACCGGAUGACCUCUACCGUGUCUUUGGUAACAGUCGCUCCUUUAAGAAUUACUCACAUCAAGAAGCGAUGGUACACGCCUGUAAUCCCAGAGUGGCAGGAGUUCAGGGUCAUUGUUGACUACAUAGCAAAUUGAAGGUCAGCCUUACUUACAUGUAAGGCUUGAAAUUCUCAAGACCUACAUUAAUAAGUGUACUUAAGUGCUUUAACGUCCCUUCUAGUCCACGGCCCACCAGAGGUAGUGGAAAGGGAAGGUAUUAGGCCAAAGGAGGAUGUGGACCUAUUUAGAAAUAGUUUUUUUGGAGCAAAUCCAAUACGUGUUGUCAGGAGUCAACAGUCCAGUUCACACGGUCGGCAGCGGCAGCUGGAUCCACUCACAGACACCAUUUAUAGAAUCGGCGGCAGCAGUUCCAUCCAGAGAAAUCAAGAGGCUCUGCCAACGGGCCCAAGUCUGUGGCAGUAGCAAGAAGCUGCUGGGACAUCACGAGAAGUCCUGUGGUGCAUUUCUCUCUAUGAAGUCACAGCAAACAACCACCAGCAAAGAGUGGCAAGGCGAACCAAUACCACACAGCGCUGUCCACUGUUGGGCUCUAUUUAUACCCUUUCCCAGCAUCCUGUGCCCUCUCAGGUGUCUGCUCCACCAAAACAUCACAUGCCCUCUUUUUCAGGCAGCUUCCAGAAAAAACACCACCAGCCUGUUCUCAGCAAAACAUCACCCCACGUGUCUGCUUCAACAGAGACAACCUCUCAUAAGACAGUUUCCAGAAAGACAUCACAGGACGAGACUGAUUCUCUAAAGAAACCAGAAAUUUUUACUUCAAUACCCUGACACAAACCAUCAGAAAGCAAAACAAAAACAAAAGCACAGUUACUUACAGAGCAUCUCCAGGCUCUCAACCAUGUCCAUAGUAUACAAUAGAAAAUAAAGGACACAACCAAGUGUGCGAACUGUAAAUGAAAUUCAAAAAGUCAAUCAGUGAAGACCUAGACAAAAAUGCAGAGGGCCAAGCGUAUCUUUAGACUUCAUGGUUUCUUUGCUUGUUUGUGCUCAGUUCAGGCUGGCCUUGAACUGACAACCUUUCUGCCUCCACCUCCCAAGCCCUGAGACGACAGACGUGUGCCAUCCCACCCCGCCAGCUCCGAAAAAAAGAACCAAAAAAAAAAAAAAAAAAAAAAAAGAAAGAAAAAAAAGAAAGAGUGACCAAACUGGUUAGCCACCUGGAAGCUGGAACUUUUGCUCAUAAAAGACACGCCAAGAGAACAAACCACGGAGAGGGAGAGACUAUGCACGACAAGGAGGCUCUUACACCCAGUUUACGUAAAGUCUUAUAGAGGAGUGAAUUAGAAACUGACACAAAACGAAAGUGGGCAAAAGACCUCAGCAGACACAUCACUAAAGGAAUCUUAAAUAGCUGUUCCUAUGUGGAUGUCGUGGAACCAUUUUAUCAGAGAAUUAAAGCCAAAUGAGGUAUUUUUACAUAUCCACCCAAAGAUUAAUUAAUACUUUCUGGGUCGAGUGUUGAAUUCCCUCACAGGCUCCCGUGUGAACACUUGGUCCCUACCCAGUGUGUUUUGGAACGUGGUGGUAUUAAGAGGUGAGGCCUGGCUGGAGAAAUGGGUCACAGCGGGGUGAACAUUCAGCGCCAUAACUCGGCCUCACUUCUGGCCCAAGUGUCUUUGCUUUCCGGUGGACCAAGAUGUAACAAGCAAGUUGCAAGUUCUCACCACAGUUCCCCGCCGUAGGGCUGUGUCCCCCUCAAACCACAAGCGAACCUUUCCUCUCUUCGUUGCUUCUGUCAGGUACACAGCAACAAGGGAAGAUGCCAACAGAGAGUGUGCAAUGCUGAGUCUCAGCGCAAAUGAUCAGCAACCGGUCAAACGCCCCGGCAACGCCCAUUCGGCGUCACACACUGACGCGCGGCCAGCGUGUGUGCCUUCAAGCUCAAGUCUAUUCUUGAUGGAAAUGAGUCCCUUUAGUUGCUCCAAGACACGCACAGGAAGGCCUUAGCGGAGCUAUUUGCAAAGGUUUGAAAGCUAGAAAAGAGCUCACUUGUCCCUCGGCCACAGAACGGAUCAACAAAGUUGGUUGAGUCAUAAAAUAAAAUGAAUGUUUGUGUGAGAAAACAAGCCACCAGUGUUUUCACUCGGCGCUGGGGAAUUUCACAGGGAUGGUGUCAGCCCAGGAAGCUUGUGCGGCGAGGUGUGCGGUAGGGGACAGAGCCCUUCGGCUCUGAGAGACGCUCGCACUUUAUUUGAAACCUACAUGUGGAAAGCUGCCAACAUUUUGAAAGUCCGGACGAUGCACACGAGGACUCGGAAAACAGUCUCCAUACUUUUCUUUUCGUUGAAAAUAAAUAUGCCCAGCUACAAACCCCCAAACGAGCCAAUGUGUAGCACGUGGUCAGGGCUGAGUGGACUAUAUAUAUCCCCGUUUCCCCUCAAUACUGAAGCUCCUCUUUAAAAACAAAACCAAAGCCUACGUCACGGGAUUUGAUAUACCAUACCUAUUAUUUUUGCCUUGUUAGUGCAUUAGUUAAUCCGGUCUGCGGUAACACAACAAGGAGUGUAACAGUAACCAAUCCAUUCCUCACAGCUCUGAAGGCUGUCCAAGAUGAAGGUACAGGAAAACGGGCUUCUUUCUGAGGUUUUUCUUUUCUUGGCUUCCAGACAAGCACCAUUGUGCCUUGUACUCAGAGUUUCUUUGUGAGCAUUCAGGGAGGUGAAAAUGAGCUCGCUGGUUUCUUCUUAGAAAGGUGCUAAUCUCAUCGUGAAAACUCUUAUGAUCUCAUCUGAGGUUAAUUACCUCCCCAAGGCCCCUUGUCCAAAUAUCAUCGCAUGAGGGGUUCGGGUUCUAACUUAGUGGUUUGGAGAGAAUACACACAGUCAGUCCAGAACGGCUGCCUAAUGCUUCACGUACACACAGUCAGUCCAUAAUGACUGCCUAAUUGUAAGUUCAGGUAAAUGAACCAGGGCUACAUCUCCCCAGUGCUUCCGAUGGUUGGUUCUUUGCAUAAUGAACAGCACAUCUUGAAGUGAUUAAUAACGUUCUGGUAAGCUGAGACUGAUAGGUUGAAAUAAAUUUAUUAAUGCCAUGCAGGACAGUCGGUGUCUCACUAAUGUCAGUGUUCUGUGCCCUGCUUCAACUCCUUUGUGUGAAACCUCCUGCACGCUUCUGUAUAAACCUCACUUUCCCCUAAGGUUUUGUUCUACUGGGCUUCAAUAAAUGUUUAUUGAACAAAUACGUUAUUUUGGGUCUAUCCACACAAACUCACGUACUGUUCCCACAGGGCAGAGGUAAACCGUCUGAGCUGGGCACUGCCCACUGGCUAUUGGCCAUUUAGUCUUUGGAACGAACAAAGAAAUGAAGAGUUCAGACAGCAGCAAUUUCGAGCUCUUGGAGUUUAAGGGCGGAUAAUUUCGAGGAUCCUGAGGGAAGACUUGAAGGCCUCAAAGCAUGAUAUUGCCUCCUUCGCAAUUCUGUCUGACACUCUGAAAUUGUGUCACGGUCAUAUUAUUUCAUGGUAUUGGUCUGAUCGGGGACUGGUCAGUUCGCGUGAAAGACCGUUUGGAUUCUCCCGUGUCCAUGCAAUCACCUGCAGAGUGCCUGGCCUGGUUCGUUCCACUCUUCUUAGCCUUUCCAGGGUAAGAACUGAGAAUAGAAAAGAGGCAGAGCCACAGAGCCUCUGAAGGUCCCUGGACAGCCCUGUACUCUGUUGUGAUGAUAGAACAGGCAUUUGUCAGCCCCUCACUGCCUCUGCCCACAGCGGUGUCCUGGCACUUGUAAGUCCAGCUGCAGGGCUGGAUUCAGGUGAUGUCUGCAUGGUACAGGGCUGUUAAGAGCUGGAGAAUUAAAGGCUUCUCUAAUUUGGACAAGAAGCAGUGAAGGGGGGUAAGGGAGAGGGGAGGGAAGGGGUAGAGGGAGAAGAAGGAAGGAAGAAAGGGAACUAAAGAAGAUAAUGAAAGAGAGAGAGAGAGAGAGAGAGAGAGAGAGAGAGAGAGAGAGAGAGAGAGAAGAAAGUCCCCAAGAGUGGUGCAUAUUGUUGGAACUCUGGGCAUUCCUAAAAGGAUCCUGAACAAAAACUAGCAGUGUCUUUUCUUUUAAAAGGGGGAACCACCCAUA